rnacentral:rRNA from 1 species
GUUACUCUGGAUAAACACAGUUGAUCGCACGACUUUACGUCGGCGACGUAUCUUUCAAGCGUAUGCCCUAUCAGCUGUCGACGGUAGGGUAGCGGCCUACCGUGGCAUCAACGGGUAACGGGGGAUCAGGGUCCGAUCCCGGAGAGUAAGCCUGAGAGACGGCUUACACAUCUAAGGAAGGCAGCAGGCGCGCAAAUUACCCAAUGGGGAAACCCUGAGGUAGUGACAAGAAAUAACAAUACGCGACUCUUUCGAGGCCGCGUAAUUGGAAUGAGCACAGUCUAAAUCCUUUAGCGAGGAUCAAUUGGAGGGCAAGUCUGGUGCCAGCAGCCGCGGUAAUUCCAGCUCCAAUAGCGUAUAUUAAAGUUGCUGCAGUUAAAAAGCUCGUAGUUGACAAUCGGCGCUCGUCUCGGUGGUCCUGUUCACUCAAGCACUGCCUUGACGGCCUCUACACACUGGCUUGAGGUCGU